GACGAACGCUGGCGGCGUGCUUAACACAUGCAAGUCGAACGGAAAGGCCAGUGCUUGCACUGGUACUCGAGUGGCGAACGGGUGAGUAACACGUGGGUGAUCUGCCUUUCACUCUGGGAUAAGCUUGGGAAACUGGGUCUAAUACCGGAUAUGAACUGCCUUUAGUGUGGUGGUUGGAAAGUUUUUUCGGUGCAAGAUGAGCUCGCGGCGUAUCAGCUUGUUGGUGGGGUAUUGGCCGACCAAGGCGUCGACGGGUAGCCGGCCUGAGAGGGUGUACGGCCACAUUGGGACUGAGAUACGGCCCAGACUCCUACGGGAGGCAGCAGUGGGGAAUAUUGCACAAUGGGCGGAAGCCUGAUGCAGCGACGCCGCGUGGGGGAUGACGGCCUUCGGGUUGUAAACUCCUUUCGACAGGGACGAAGCGUAAGUGACGGUACCUGUAUAAGAAGCACCGGCUAACUACGUG
rnacentral:rRNA from 1 species